AAGAAGUCAGGCCAGAUUAAGCCAUAG
rnacentral:lncRNA from 1 species